UAGAAAAUGCCUUGCAUUAUCAGUAAAUUAUCAAUGCAACUACAAAAAGCGCAUUUAGGUUGAGCAAGCCGCCGCUGUUAACGUCUAUUUAUUCGAUCGGGCUAAAAUUUGUGGCAUCAGUCAAAAUGACAAGAUUCUCUUACAAAAUUGUAGGAGUAAAUUGUUUUUGUGGGCCUAAAUCCCUUUUGUUUUCUAUUUGAUUUGGAGUGUCUAACUCUUAUAGUUUCCGACUUCUUGAGAUACAAGUAUAUACUAACUUUAUGGGUUCUGCCACACCUCCGUUGUUCUGCUCUCUUGCUUUUAAACCAGACCUUAAGCCAACAUUUUUGACAUUUUACCUAUUGUGCGUUGUUCAAAUUUUAAAUUAUCAUAAUCUACAAGGACAUUCAACUGCAUAGUAGCGAGAACUUCCAUUCCUGUUUGCAAUGUCGACUCUUGGAUACCAUCAAGGCAUUUGCAUUGUUAGUGGCACAUAUGUUACGGCUACAGAGACUUUCGUCGACACACAUAUUAUAUGAUAGGAAGCUGUGAGCCAAUCGCCGGCUUAUAAUCGCCAAUGGAAAACCAUGAAUAUUCGCAGAGAUGGGUAAAUGCUACGGCCACUUACAUUUAGCAUAAAAACGAGAAAAUACCACAGCUACAUUGGUCAGAGCGAGUUCUUAUUGUUAGAAGAACGAGCUGGUGUUAUAAGAAUCUCAGAGCUAAGGACAUUCGAUCAGCUGAAAACAAUCAAUAUGCAGCGAAUGGAGAAAGUUAAAGGAACGGACUUCUACUUAUACUGGUUACUGUCCUUUAAAAUUAGACAACAUGAAACCUAGCUAGCUGAACUAGUUCAAUUGUAGUAUGUAUGUACUAUAAUUAGGCUUGUGGAAAAUAAUAUACUUAUGACGUUCUUCACCAAACUGGAUGAACUAAUGAGCUAGGAUUCGAACUUCGGGUUUUAAAUGAGAAUAAGCGAUAUCAUAUCAUAUAAAACUCUGCUGCUAUUUUCUAGCGCUAGAACAUCGCACAAUUUACAAUGAUCCCUGUAAUUUGCAAGAAUACAACUUUUAUGUACAUAAUUGCUCUUUCUCCAUUGAAUUUUUGGAAACAGUUUGCUGAAGUAACUUUUAAGGAACUUCAAUUCUUGAACCUCCUGCCUCAUUCAACGUUAUGACGUCAACCUGCAAAUCUGAACUUUGCCCUGAUACCUUAUAUUAGAGCCUUAAGUCGUAAUAUUUUUUAUUCCGUCGAUCGGCAAAAUACUUAAGUUAAGCUACAUGCUCAUAAACUAAGCAAUGUCUGCCAUAAGAUAUAAAUUUUAAUUCAUAUUUAUGUAUUUUUAAGUAAC